rnacentral:rRNA from 1 species
CGGCAAUGAAUAUCUCAGCUCUCGCAUCGAUGAAGAGCACAGCAAAAUGCAAUACAUUGUGUGAAUUGCAGAAUCCUAUGAACUAUCAAGUCUUUGAAUGCAAGUUGUACCCAAGGCCAACCGGCCAAGGGCACGUCUGCCUGGGCGUCAAGCGUUGUGUUUC